CAAGUUUCCCUUCCUAUCCUUCUCCCUUAGAGAGCCGGAGUGUAAUGGCACUGCUCACUGCAACCUUUGCUCACUGCAACCUCCACCUCCUCAGUUCAAGCAAUUCUCCUGCCUCAGCUUCCUGAGUAGCUGAGAUUACAGGUGCCUUUCACCAUGCCUGGCUAAUCUUUUGUAAGAGCUGCUCCAGUUCUGCAAGCUUCAUUCAAGGAUCUGGGGGAAGCCAGUUGUGCUUCUUAAGGCCUCCCUGUUGAGAGACUCAUGCCAGUGAACUUGGAAGCAGAUCUCCUAAAGCCUCUCAACAGCUACAGAAAUUAACUUGAAAGGAGAUCCUCUAACCAGCUGAGGCUUGAGAUGACUGCAGCCCUGGCCAGGACCUCAGUCGCAGGCUGUGAGAGUCCUGGAGCCAAAAUCACCCAGAGAAGCUACUCCUGGAUUCCCAACACAGACCAUUGAAAUAAUAAAUGUUUAUUGCUUUAACCUCUAAGG
rnacentral:lncRNA from 10 species